rnacentral:rRNA from 1 species
UACGAAGGUGGCAAGCGUUGUUCGGAUUUACUGGGCGUAAAGAGCGCGCAGGCGGUCGUUCAAGUCGCGUGUGAAAGCCCCCGGCUCAACUGGGGAGGGUCACGCGAUACUGAUCGACUCGAAGGCAGGAGAGGGAAGUGGAAUUCCCGGUGUAGUGGUGAAAUGCGUAGAUAUCGGGAGGAACACCAGUGGCGAAGGCGACUUCCUGGCCUGUUCUUGACGCUGAGGCGCGAAAGCUAGGGGAGCAAACGGG